CAUUCUUUUUCAAAUAGCAACUAUUACAAGUAAAUAUGCUCAUACUGAAUAACAGUUGCUAAUUUAUCAAUUUCAUAAAAACCUGCAUGCACAAUUUUUUUUCAAUAAAACGAUCAUUAAAAACUUAAGACUCACACUGUCAACCUUUUAAGUUUUGUAAGAGUACAGGUAGCAUUGUCUCAUGGCAUAAAGGAGCAGCUCUGAAAAGU